AGGAAGGUCCUGCAACUUUUCUGGAAGGAUCUUCACCAACAAAAUUAGAUUAUGCUGUUUAUUAUGCAAUACCAUCAUCAAUUACAUCCAGUAUGUACCCUAAUAUUUAUUGUUGGCAACGUGACAUGCAUCUUGUUAUGAAACGUGAUUUACAUAGGACAAACAAUGCAAGGUUACCCAGAAGAAAAUUAAUAAUGUCCCCCUAGAUAUGUUGAAUAUCUAGCCAUUGAACAGUGUAAAAAAAUAAAACUGUAUAAAUUUUUUUAUAUUACGCACAAUAAUUCCUAUAAGUAAACAUUAGUAUACUUGAAAAACUUAUUUAAGCGUACUAAAAAAAAUGAUAUAUUUUCAAAUAUUUUAUGUAUGAUUAAAAUAGUCUACAAGAACUUCAUACAUUGUUUUAUGAAUUACCACUUACAUUUGAGUAUAUAUAUAUAUAUAUAUAAUAACACACAUAUUAUAUAUAUAUAUGUGCAACACGACUGAAGCUAUUAUAUUUAUUUCACGUUUUAUUUUCAACAAAUUAAUAUUAUUAUAUUACAUACUUCUCAAAUUUAAU